GCGAAACGAAAUUUUAAUCAAAUCUGCUCUAUCCGUACAAUUAAAUACUGAAUUUCUUUAGUGCUAAUGCGCAAUUGAGCAAUGGUAUUACAGAGAAAUCUUGUGACAACCAGAAUAUUAAAUCCUGGGGUUAACAGGAUACCAAAGAUUCGAAAAGCGGAAACUAUUUCCGAAAAAAAGGAAAAUGUUUACUGGUUAUACUGGAUUCUUACACAAACCGGUCUCCGCGAUACGUGUUCAACGUUUUGCGCAUCAUGAUUCAUUCAGGAAGUAACAAAUAAAACUGCCUUAAAGUUUUGGAUUUUCAACCUUUUUUUUAAUGAAUAUCAAUUGGACCGAAAGUAAAACAGAC